rnacentral:lncRNA from 1 species
AUGUUUCUUACAGUGUUUUUGGCAGAAUUGGUCUCCCAAACUGGAAGAGCUUCUCUGUAUUUAAUUUCCUCUCAGGAAGUUUACCUUCAGAAGUCCAAGUGUGAGGUCAAGCUUUGGGUUGCCGGAAAUGGUAAUGUCCUUUACUGUCUGAGCACCCAGACGACUCUUAAUGAAACAUCCUACUCUAUGGACAUUGCUGCUGCUGCUGCUGCUGAAUUAUGCAGCCUGCUCUUCUGCAUAUCUCUCCUGCAGUGGCUGGCCUUAUUUCUGCACAGUGCAUGGAUCAGAAUCUGGGGGGAUGCAGACAGCACGCACUGAAAGACCUAAAUGAAUGUGCAGAAGCAAGCCCCAGGCCCAGUUACCACUUGAUUUGGAAAUCGUUUUGGACUGUCCGACACAAUUAUGACUGAAAUCAAGUUUAAGGCCUGUGAGUCUUCGGUGAACAAAAUGGAAAUAAAUGCUGAAAAUUCCCCUGCCUACCUUGAAAG